rnacentral:rRNA from 1 species
UACAGAGGUCUCAAGCGUUGUUCGGAUUCAUUGGGCGUAAAGGGUGCGUAGGUGGCGCCGUAAGUCAGGUGUGAAAUUUCGGAGCUUAACUCCGAAACUGCAUUUGAUACUGCGGUGCUUGAGGACUGGAGAGGAGACUGGAAUUUACGGUGUAGCAGUGAAAUGCGUAGAGAUCGUAAGGAAGACCAGUGGCGAAGGCGGGUCUCUGGACAGUUCCUGACAGCUGAGGCACGGAAGGCCAGGGGAGCAAACGGG